UGGGGAAUUUUGGACAAUGGGCGCAAGCCUGAUCCAGCAAUGCCGCGUGAGUGAAGAAGGCCUUCGGGUUGUAAAGCUCUUUUGUCAGGGAAGAAACGGCCUCAGCUAAUAUCUGGGGCUAAUGACGGUACCUGAAGAAUAAGCACCGGCUAACUACGUGCCAG
rnacentral:rRNA from 1 species